UACGGAGGGGGCUAGCGUUGUUCGGAAUUACUGGGCGUAAAGCGCACGUAGGCGGCUUUGUAAGUUAGAGGUGAAAGCCCGGGGCUCAACUCCGGAAUUGCCUUUAAGACUGCAUCGCUAGAAUUGUGGAGAGGUAAGUGGAAUUCCGAGUGUAGAGGUGAAAUUCGUAGAUAUUCGGAAGGAACACCAGUGGCGAAGGCGGGUAGCUGGGCCAACACUGGACGCUGAGACGCGAAAGCUAGGGGAGCAAACGGG
rnacentral:rRNA from 1 species